AUGGGAGUUUUCAAACUCCCUUUCUCUAUAUGCGAUGAUCUAACUCAAAUGGUUAGGAAUUAUUGGUGGGGUUCACGGAAGGGAAAGUGGAAGACCCAUUGGAUGACCUGAGAGAACAUCAUAAAACCGAAAUCUAUGGGAGGGCUUGGAUUUCGGGACUACAGACUCUUCAACCAGGCCCUUCUUGCCCGACAAGCAUGGCGGCUCCUAACUAAUCCAGAAAGUCUUUGUGCGCAGGUCUUGAAGGCGAAAUGUUACCCUCAUGGUCGUUUGGAGGAUACUGUGUUUACAGGAAAUGCGUCAUCAAGGUGGCAGGCCAUCACGUAUGGCCUUGAGCUCCUCAAGAAGGGGCUUCUCUGGCGGAUUGGGAAUGGCCAACAAGUACGCAUAUGGCGUGAUCCUUGACUCCCGAGGCCAGUUUCAUAUAGGCCUGUUUCUCUACCAGGAAGGUGCAGGCUCCGCCGCGUCGCUGAACUGGUGAACGACCAUGGAGGGUGGGACACACAACUACUCCAACAAAACAUUGCCACUCUAUACAUCAACGAAAUACUCAAGCCGCGACCGACACCACGCAUGGGGGACGUCCUGGCUUGGGGCCCGGACCCGAGAGGCUUGUUCUUCGUCAGGUCUGCCUACAAGCUCGGCAUGGAGGAGAAACUUCGCACGUCUAUGUGCGCCACGAGCAGGGCACCGGACGGCAACCGUGUCAUCUGA
rnacentral:rRNA from 1 species